CAUUCGUUAUGCAUCUAGUAGCGGUGAGUGAGCCGGCUUAAGCUUAAAUUGCUUAUCCGGCUCUUUAGAGGCCGAGUUGUAAUUUGAAGAAGGUAUCUUUUCCUCCGGUUAUUGAUAUGCUUUCUUGGAACAGAACGUCACAGAGGGUGAGAAUCCCGUGCGAUGAGAUGAUCCAGGCCUAUGUAAAGUUCCUUCGAAGAGUCGAGUUGUUUGGGAAUGCAGCUCUAAGUGGGUGGUAAAUUCCAUCUAAAGCUAAAUAUUGGCGAGAGACCGAUAGCGAACAAGUACAGUGAUGGAAAGAUGAAAAGAACUUUGAAAAGAGAGUGAAAAAGUACGUGAAAUUGUUGAAAGGGAAGGGCUUGAGAUCAGACUUGGUAUUUUGUAUGUUACUUCUUCGGGGGUGGCCUCUACAGUUUAUCGGGCCAGCAUCAGUUUGGGCGGUAGGAGAAUUGCGUUGGAAUGUGGCACGGCUUCGGUUGUGUGUUAUAGCCUUCGUCGAUACUGCCAGCCUAGACUGAGGACUGCGGUUUAUACCUAGGAUGUUGGCAUAAUGAUCUUAAGUCGCCCGUCUUGAAACACAGACCCAA
rnacentral:rRNA from 1 species